rnacentral:rRNA from 1 species
CAAGUCGAACGGGGGAAAGUUCUUCGGAAUGAGUACUAGUGGCGUACGGGUGAGCAACACGUGGAUAAUCUUCCUUCAGGUGGAGAAUAACGAGUCGAAAGAUUCGCUAAUACCGCAUAAGACCACAGUAACUUUGGUUACAGGGGUUAAAGACUUCGGUCGCCUUUAUAUGAGUCUGCGUCCGAUUAGCUAGUUGGUGAGGUAAUGGCUCACCAAGGCGACGAUCGGUAACUGGUCUGAGAGGACGGCCAGUCACACUGGGACUGAAACACGGCCCAGACUCCUACGGGAGGCAGCAUUAGGGAAUUUUGCACAAUGGAGGAAACUCUGAUGCAUCGACGCCUCGUGAGUGAUGAAGGCCUUCGGGUCGUAAAGCUCUGUUCUCAGGGAAUAAAAAAAUGAAGGUACCUGAGGAGAAAGGACCGGCUAACUUCGUGCCAGCAGCCGCGGUAAGACGAGGGGUCCAAGCGUUGUUCGGAAUCAUUGGGCGUAAAGCGGGUGUAGGCGGCUCUGCAAGUCAGAAGUGAAAGCCCCAGGCUUAACCUGGGAAGUGCUUUUGAUACUGCAGAGCUUGAAUGUGGAAGAGGAUGGUGGAAUUCCAGGUGUAGUGGUGAAAUACGUAUAUAUCUGGAGGAACUCCGGUGGCGAAGGCGGCCAUCUGGCCCAACAUUGACGCUGAGACCCGAAAGCGUGGGGAUCAAACAGGAUUAGAUACCCUGGUAGUCCACGCCGUAAACGAUGGAUACUUGGUGUUGGAGGUAUUGACCCCUUCAGUGCCGAAGCAGACGCGUUAAGUAUCCCGCCUGGGAAGUACAGCCGCAAGGUUAAAACUCAAAGAAAUUGACGG